GAUGAACGCUAGCUACAGGCUUAACACAUGCAAGUCGAGGGGUAACGAGAGGAAAGCUUGCUUUCCUUGUCGACGACCGGCGCACGGGUGAGUAACGCGUACCCAACCUGCCCCCAACUAGGGAAUAACCUUGCGAAAGUAAGACUAAUACCCUAUAAUUUCCUCAGAUGUCAUCUGACGAGGAAUAAAGAUUUAUCGGUUGUGGAUGGGGAUGCGUCUGAUUAGCUUGUUGGCGGGGUAACGGCCCACCAAGGCAACGAUCAGUAGGGGUUCUGAGAGGAAGGUCCCCCACAUUGGAACUGAGACACGGUCCAAACUCCUACGGGAGGCAGCAGUGAGGAAUAUUGGUCAAUGGGCGGAAGCCUGAACCAGCCAAGUAGCGUGCAGGAUGACGGCCCUAUGGGUUGCAAACUGCUUUUAUACAGGAAUAAAGUUAGCCACGUGUGGUUAUUUGUAGGUACUGUAUGAAUAAGGACCGGCUAAUUCCGUGCCAGCCGCCGCAGUAA
rnacentral:rRNA from 1 species